UGAGGAACAUGACCUUCGGCGGGGGAUAGCCGGCCCAACGGCCGGGUAAUACCGCGUACGACCUCUCGGGGACAUCCCUGGAUGGUGAAAGCAGCAAUGCGCCGAUGGAGUGCCUCGCGGCCUAUCAGCUAGUUGGUGGGGUAAUGGCUCACCAAGGCGACGACGGGUAGCUGGUCUGAGAGGAUGGCCAGCCACAGUUGGGACUGAGACACGGCCCAGACUCCGUAGGGA
rnacentral:rRNA from 1 species